rnacentral:rRNA from 1 species
CCUACGGGAGGCAGCAGUGGGGGAUAUUGCACAAUGGGGGGAACCCUGAUGCAGCGACGCCGCGUGGGUGAAGAAGCGCCUCGGCGCGUAAAGCCCUGUCAGCAGGGAAGAAAAUGACGGUACCUGAAGAAGAAGCCCCAGCUAACUACGUGCCAGCAGCCGCGGUAUUACGUAGGGGGCAAGCGUUAUCCGGAUUUACUGGGGGUAAAGGGGGCGCUGACGGCGCUGCAAGCCAGGAGUGAAAGCCCGGGGCCCAACCCCGGGACUGCACUUGGAACUGCGUGGCUGGAGUGCAGGAGGGGCAGGCGGAAUUCCUGGUGUAGCGGGGAAAGGCGUAGAUAUCAGGAGGAACACCGGUGGCGAAGGCGGCCUGCUGGACUGCAACUGACGUUGAGGCCCGAAAGCGUGGGGAGCAAACAGGAUUAGAUACCCCAGUAGUC